UAGCAACCGCAGCUUGUUGGCUCUCA
rnacentral:misc_RNA from 1 species